AACACCUGUUUGAACAUGGCCUCGAAACGGCAACAGGAGUCGGGAGCGGAGAAAAGAAAGAAGAAGAGGAAGCGUGAUGAAACUCAGGCGUCGCUUGCCGGGUCAAUGCUUAAAUAUGUUCAAGGAGGAUCUCAAGGACAGGAUGAACCAUCCAGUAGUAGUGCCAUCCCUGGACAUCAACCACCAGCCAUUGUAGACCCUGCAACAAUCCCUAGCCAAGAAGAACAAGAACCAUCAACCACCAGUUCAGGUA